AACAGCUUGCUGUUUCGCUGACGAGUGGCGGACGGGUGAGUAAUGUCUGGGAAACUGCCUGAUGGAGGGGGAUAACUACUGGAAACGGUAGCUAAUACCGCAUAAUGUCGCAAGACCAAAGAGGGGGACCUUCGGGCCUCUUGCCAUCGGAUGUGCCCAGAUGGGAUUAGCUAGUAGGUGGGGUAACGGCUCACCUAGGCGACGAUCCCUAGCUGGUCUGAGAGGAUGACCAGCCACACUGGAACUGAGACACGGUCCAGACUCCUACGGGAGGCAGCAGUGGGGAAUAUUGCACAAUGGGCGCAAGCCUGAUGCAGCCAUGCCGCGUGUAUGGAGAAGGCCUUCGGGUUGUAAAGUACUUUCAGCGGGGAGGAAGGGAGUAAAGUUAAUACCUUUGCUCAUUGACGUUACCCGCAGAAGAAGCACCGGCUAACUCCGUGCCAGCAGCCGCGGUAAUACGGAGGGUGCAAGCGUUAAUCGGAAUUACUGGGCGUAAAGCGCACGCAGGCGGUUUGUUAAGUCAGAUGUGAAAUCCCCGGGCUCAACCUGGGAACUGCAUCUGAUACUGGCAAGCUUGAGUCUCGUAGAGGGGGGUAGAAUUCCAGGUGUAGCGGUGAAAUGCGUAGAGAUCUGGAGGAAUACCGGU
rnacentral:rRNA from 1 species